rnacentral:RNase_P_RNA from 1 species
GAAGCCCACCAGACUGUCGCUGGUGCAAUCUUGGAAACAAGGCACUGGAGGAACGUCCGGACUGCACAGGGCAGCGUAGCAGCUAACGGCUGUCCACUGAAAGCCGUGUACGAAAGUGCGCGGUAUAAGGUGAGGAUCAGAGCAACAGAGACGAGUCGAGCGCGGGGCAACCCGGGUUCGGGUGAAACGGGCAAUCUCUACGCGCAGCAAUACCAAGUAGGCACACGCUGAGCAGCGCAGUUCGCUGCGGUGUUCAACCCGGGGCCCCCGGGCUGUGUGCGGGUAGGUAGCACCGAGCCGUUGGGUGACCAACGGCCCAGAUUAAUGGCAGUCACAUUGGGGGCAACCUCAAUGCACAGAAUCCGGCUUAUCGGUGGGCUUCACAC